AUGCCUCAGAAUAAAGUAUCUGCGGCACUUCUGUCAAUACAUCAUCAUCGAAGCAAGAGGGAGCAGCACGCGCUGUUAGGUUCGCUGGGGGUGGCGUUCCUAUCCCGGCGGGGCUUGUUUAACCGGUUGGGGGCGUACGAUCCUAAGCCAUGAUGCCCCAAAAUUUAUAUUGAUUCCUAGUUUUCAUUCCCAUGUUCUUCUUCUUCGAAACCCUAAUUUCUAUUCUCUGAUUCUUUGUUCUAUUCCCAUGUUCUUCCUCGAAGCGCUCUCGUUUACCUGAGGAUCGACCAAAUUAUAUGUGGAAUCGGAUGAGCGGCUUUCUUGGUUUCUUGGAGGGUUAGGGUUUGAUGGGAUUAAGUGGAUUUGGAUAUUUCAAUUUCAAGUUAUGGAAUUUCAAAAAACAUACAGGAAAGAGCGGUUCGACUCUGGCUGUUGUAUCAAUUGUUGCAUUUUAUUUCAAUUUCAAAAAGUGGAUGGUUCCUGCAGUGUGCAACAAAAGAAUAAAGAUGGCUCAUGAUGAUAGCCAACAGAAAUGAGUUGAGUUUGCUGAAUUGGCGGCGGAAGGGGAUAGGGCUUUAACGGCAGAGAUCGCAGAGAUCUCAGUGCUGUAUGAAAGAAAAGGGAAAUGCUUUUCCAGAUUUAGAGCUGCUGACGCUGGCAUAAGAUGGAUGUCAUGCUCUGUUCAUCAACUGCAAUGACUCACCAGGAAAACUACAACAACUAAUUUCUUCUUUCAAAUUGCGGGCGUAGCCUCAUAUGGUUGGAAGUUUUUAAGGUUAUUUGGUUUAGAUGAUUGGAUGUGGGCUUGGUUUUAGGCAUCCUGCAGAGUUCUUGGUGUGGAAGCAACACCACCAGCUGGUUACAUUUGCAUUUCCUCACCAACCAAUUAUUGCUUUAUUUAACUAAGUCGUAUUUUCCAUAAUUUUGUGCAGGAAUUGGAACCUAAGGCUGCUCUGCAUCCAAACACUUCCCAGUCUGAAGAAAUAGCAUCUAGUAAAUGCUGAAAGAUGGUCAAUAGUUUGCAUAGGGAGUGUAGGAUCUACAAUAAUUGAGCAACUAAUAAGGAAACUUGCUUGGAGCUUGUCCAGGUAUGUGUUAUGUUUUGAUGCCUUUCUCUAAUGUUCUGUGAACAUGUCAGUGGACUCUGGCAGAAAAUGGAUGUGAUGUCACAUUCAUCAGCUACAAUGACUCAAAGAGGAAAACAACCACAACCCAAUUGGUUAUUUGGUUUAGUCGAUGAUUGGAUACAGGGUUAGGUUUGGGCAUCUUGUGGUGUUAAUGGUGUGGAAGCAACACCAACGAUUAAAUCAAUCAAUAUGGCUGGAACUGAAACUAUGUCUGCUCUUAUCAUCCAACACUACCUAAUGUGAAGAAAUGGUGAAAAUGUCUCUCAGAAUUUAGAGCCACUGGACUUUGGCAUAAAAUUUUUAUGUGAUGUCAUAUUCAUCAGCUACCAUGACUCACAAAGGAAAACUACCGCAACCCAGCAGUUAUUUUGUGCAAGAAGCAAACUACAGCUGCUCUUUACAACCAACACUAGCACCAAAUAAUUGUUGGUCUGGCAACGUAGCGUUGGGCUAAAUUGUCUUGGUAGUGUGUGGUUGUGCUUAACAUACUAGACUUGUGGUCUCUUUUGUGCUUCUUGUGGUGAUGUUAGUUGUGUUUUUAUAUAGUAUGUUCAGUUUGUUGCGACAUAUAUUAGAUUCAAAUAUUUUGUUUAACUGAAUUUGUUUGUGACAAUGUUGUUUUGUUUGUGUUGAUUUUGAUAAUUUGUUUUGGUCUGAGUUUUUGCAUGUUAUGUUAUUUAAUCUAUA